UUCAUGCCCCUUGUCUAUACAAAUUUAUCUGCCGUAAACCGUCUGACAGAACGAUUUUCAGCAAAACAUCAGGAAAAUGGCCGCCAGCCGAUGUUUUCAACUAGACGAGUAUGAAAGGGAAUACAGUGUUAGAUAUCAUCGAGGAUAUGUGACCAAAGGGUUUCAGAAGUCUUGAGAGAUGUAUGUAGAUCAAACCCAUCAAGUAAGCCAACACCAUGUCUACAAGGUCAUACCUCUAGAACCUCUCACACCUCUACAGCUGAGGACAAAUCUGAAAGUGGACAGAGGGAUAGUAUGAAUGCUUCAGUGAAAUUAAGGAGCUCAGGUUCUAACAAGCGUAGUAGAGCAGUGCAACACAGAGGUACUCCAAUGUGCAAUUUUACAAGUUUUUCCAGACAGUGAUUACAGCGAGGCUUGAAGACUACUGUACACAAUUUCUUAACAAAUCCAAAAACAAAGCCGUGUAACAUUCAACUAAGUGAUUCAAAGAAAACCAAACUACAAACAAGAAAGGGUCGAUUGAAUGGAGUGACAUUUUUACCCUGAAGCGUCCUAUUAAGAUAAAGAGAAUCUAGUCGUUUGUGCCACGGCACAAAAUUAUCAGACACAUAAAUAACAUUCAAGUAGUUAUGCAUUUACACGGAGAAUAUGACAUAAUUGUAUUUUCAUAUUGAAUUUAUCAUAUAAGUUGCCAGUUGAUCGAACCACACACUUAAUUGCCAACAUGGUUGGAAGGGUCUUAUUGUCCGAGCUGCAAAGAGUGUAUACCCUUAUAAACUAGCUGGCACAGUUGUGUGUCAGUUGAUAUCAGUCUGUGCUGGUUGCAAAUUAAAUCCAAUACUUUCAUAGAAUUAUAUGUUUUUAUUUAAUGUUUAUAGCAUCAAUAAAUUGAUAAUCUGAAAACAUAUUGCAAGUCAGGUUUUCAAGUAAAAUCCUAAUUAACUUUUAGAACAUUUUG